rnacentral:rRNA from 1 species
UACGUAGGUGGCAAGCGUUGUCCGGAUUUAUUGGGUUUAAAGGGUGCGUAGGCGGCCUUAUAAGUCAGUGCUGAAAUAUCCCGGCUUAACCGGGAGGGUGGCAUUGAUACUGUAGGGCUUGAGUAAAGUUGAGGUUGGCGGAAUUGACGGUGUAGCGGUGAAAUGCUUAGAUAUCGUCAAGAACACCGAUAGUGAAGACAGCUAACUAAGCUUUAACUGACGCUGAGGCACGAAAGUGUGGGGAGCGAACAGG